rnacentral:rRNA from 1 species
UACAGAGGGUGCGAGCGUUAAUCGGAAUUACUGGGCGUAAAGGGUGCGUAGGCGGUUUGGUAAGUCUUGUGUGAAAUCUCCAGGCUCAACUUGGAGUCUGCACGAGAAACUGCCGGGCUUGAGUGUGGGAGAGGUGAGUGGAAUUCCUGGUGUAGCGGUGAAAUGCGUAGAUAUCAGGAGGAACACCUGUGGCGAAGGCGACUUUCUGGUCUGUAACUGACACUGAGGCGCGAAAGCGUGGGGAGCAAACAGG